rnacentral:lncRNA from 1 species
ACAACGGAAUAAGACUUUUCUCUUGUACACAAGAGUUAGGAAGAGAACCGGCAAAGGAAAGAUUAUGCAGUGAGGUUUGGGAGGGGCUGCGGCAUGGGGAAGUAGAUUAGAACCAUAAGACUGAAGCUAGCAAGACAGCGAUCUGUGCGUAAUAGACUAUGACCAGAGGGCUUUAACGGCAAAGAGAAAACAGGGCGGCUCUAGCGCAGCGAUUGUGGAUGAUGCAGUUUUCCCUGACUGAAAACCUAAGGGCUCCUUGUUCGUUGAGAAGAAUUUAUGGUCAGCAAUCUCACAAUGAUAUUAAAAGGUAAACUCUUGCUGACUGAAGAAAUCGCUGCA